rnacentral:rRNA from 1 species
GGAUGAACGCUAGCUACAGGCUUAACACAUGCAAGUCGAGGGGCAGCGGGAUUGAAGCUUGCUUCAAUUGCCGGCGACCGGCGCACGGGUGAGUAACGCGUAUCCAACCUUCCGUACACUCAGGGAUAGCCUCUCGAAAGAAAGAUUAAUACCUGAUGGUAUGAUGAGAUUGCAUGAUAGCAUCAUUAAAGAUUUAUCGGUGUACGAUGGGGAUGCGUUCCAUUAGGUAGUAGGCGGGGUAACGGCCCACCUAGCCAACGAUGGAUAGGGGUUCUGAGAGGAAGGUCCCCCACAUUGGAACUGAGACACGGUCCAAACUCCUACGGGAGGCAGCAGUGAGGAAUAUUGGUCAAUGGACGAGAGUCUGAACCAGCCAAGUAGCGUGAAGGAUGAAGGUCCUACGGAUUGUAAACUUCUUUUAUAAGGGAAUAAACCCUCCCACGUGUGGGAGCUUGUAUGUACCUUAUGAAUAAGCAUCGGCUAACUCCGUGCCAGCAGCCGCGGUAAUACGGAGGAUGCGAGCGUUAUCCGGAUUUAUUGGGUUUAAAGGGAGCGCAGACGGGUCGUUAAGUCAGCUGUGAAAGUUUGGGGCUCAACCUUAAAAUUGCAGUUGAUACUGGCGUCCUUGAGUGCGGUUGAGGUGUGCGGAAUUCGUGGUGUAGCGGUGAAAUGCUUAGAUAUCACGAAGAACUCCGAUUGCGAAGGCAGCACACUAAUCCGUAACUGACGUUCAUGCUCGAAAGUGUGGGUAUCAAACAGGAUUAGAUACCCUGGUAGUCCACACGGUAAACGAUGGAUACUCGCUGUUGGCGAUAUACUGUCAGCGGCUUAGCGAAAGCGUUAAGUAUCCCACCUGGGGAGUACGCCGGCAACGGUGAAACUCAAAGGAAUUGACGGA